AUGUUCUGGCUGGGGAACAGAAUCCCUAUCACCAGCUUCCUCAGCACAACGUUGUACCUUGCCGCAGGUGAAUUAUAUAUUGAGGAGCUUGGUUCUGUUCUCUGGACCUCGGGUUCAGCAACAAAUGGAUCAACCAGAUCUGUGGCGGUUCUCCUUAACACCGGGAAUUUUGUUGUGAGAGAUCAGAUCAACCACUCUAAGGUCGUAUGGCAGAGCUUUGAUCAUCCAGCUGAUGCUCUGCUACCUGGAGCAUGGCUAGGAUUGGACGUGGCCACCGGAGCACACAUCUCGCUUACUUUAUCCAAGCCUCCUUACCAUUGCACCCUCGUGAUUGACCAGAGUAGGAAGAUGGGAUUUGUCAUGUCCAUUGAUGGGCAUGACCAUCUUGGUACCUUUCCGGACGGGAUGGUAACAUACGAAGAAGGCAGUUUGGUCCGGCUAAAUUAUCCAGAGAACCCAAAUGAUAUCCAAUUCAUGAGGCUGCAUAUGGGGCAAGUCAGUCUGCUGAGGUGGGUAAAUAAUGCGACGAUUACUGGUUGGCAACCUCUGUGGAGCUAUCCCUCCAGCUGCAAAAUCAGUGCUUUCUAUUGCGGCGCAUUCAGUGCUUGCACAAGCGCAGGAACAUGCGCGUGCAUUGAUGGUUUCAGACCAAGUGAUCCAGAUGAAUGGAGGCUUGGGCAAUUUGUUAGCGGCUGCUCUAGAAUAAUACCCUCAGAUUGCGAAGACGGCAUCUCCACCGACUCGUUUGUUUUGUUAGACAACGUGCAAGGCCUUCCUGCCAACCCUCAAGAUACAAGGGAAGAAACUAGUGAAGACUGUCAAGUGGCCUGUCUGAACCAAUGCUAUUGCGUCGCAUAUUCCUAUGAUCUCUCUGGAUGCAAGAUAUGGUAUGAUGUGUUACUUAAUUUGACUUUUGGAAAUAGUGCCAUUCACCACGCCAAGAUUUCCAUGCGUAUAGCUCAUGGUAAAAGGCAGCAAGGACGCAUACAGCAUGUCAUGUUGGUUAUUGGUCCAAUAGUUGUUGGUCUUCUUAUCAUGCUGGUGAUUUUCUGGGUGUACAAGAUAUCUUCAAGACAGACUAAAGUGGAUGAUUUUCUUGCUGUUUACACUUAUACACAGCUCAAGAGAGCCACAAGAAAUUUCUCUGACAAACUCGGCGAAGGAGGCUUUGGAAGUGUAUUCAAGGGAACAGUUGCAGGUCCAACUGCCGUAGCCGUGAAGAAGCUUAAAAGCUUCGGGCACAGAGAUAAGCAAUUCCGAGCAGAAGUACAAACUCUUGGGCUGAUUCAACACACCAAUCUUGUGCGCCUUUUCGGAUUCUGCAGCGAAGGGGCCAGAAGGUUGCUGGUCUACGAGUAUAUGCCAAAUGGCUCUUUGGAUUCUCAUCUCUUUUCAUCGGGAACAAGCGUUUUGAGUUGGAGUCUUCGCCGUCGCAUUGCCAUUGGCAUUGCUAAAGGUCUUUCCUAUCUGCAUGAAGAGUGCAGGGACUGCAUCAUACACUGCGACAUCAAGCCCGAGAACAUACUACUGGAUGCUGAAUUCUGCCCCAAAAUCGCAGAUUUUGGCAUGGCCAAGCUUCUCAGACGGGACAUGAGCACGGCGCUGACUACUCUCCGUGGAACCAUCGGCUAUCUCGCACCGGAGUGGGUGUAUGGUCAGCCUAUCACUCACAAGGCAGAUGUCUACAGCUUUGUUGUUGUGCUCCUCGAAUUGUUCUCCGGGAGGAGGGCUACCGGGAAUGGAAAUCAUCAGUACUUCCCCCUUUAUGCUGCAGCUAAGGUGAACGAAGGAGAUGUCUUGUGCUUGCUCGAUGGCCGGCUACGAGGAGAAGGCAAUGCAAAGGAGCUGGAUGUUGCCUGUAGGGUUGCUUGCUGGUGCAUCCAGGAUGAUGAGAUCCACAGGCCAUCAAUGGGGCAAGUUGUACGCAUGCUGGAAGGUGCCGUUGACGUUGAGUUGCCUCCGAUUCCGACUUCAUUUCAGAACAUUAUGGACGAGGGCGACAGUGGUACAUAUUCUGCAGAAGUGUGA
rnacentral:rRNA from 1 species